AGUGGUAUCAACGCAUGGGACAUGCUUUCUCUAAGAAGGGGGUAGUGUAGCGACGAAUCAAGCUUAGUCAUAGUUGUUGUGCGUCAACGGAUAUACGAUGUGAGUAAGCACAACAACGCGCUACAAGCUAACCACACAAGCCCGACCACAAAGCAUGAAAGCACUAUAACGCGCUUAGAAGGAACUAAGUCAUCCCACUAUUACGUGCAGGAUAUGACGGAGAACACUCCUUUUAGUUAUUAUAUAAAUGCACGACAAAAUAUAGAAUAGAAGACAAGACCAGAGAUGAAUAGAGCAUAGCAAAAUUCCAUGUAAACUCGUAUGAUUAAAUAUAAUGCAAUAAUAAUGAUACGUGGCAAGUGUAUGAUUUCAUGGCGCAAGUGCAUAUACCGAGGGACAUGAUGAUCCAAAUCUAACCGUUCUACGGCUCAACGUUACAAAAGCAAAAGAGUGUCAUCAGUAUCCUUGAAGAGCUGGAGGAUUGUCCAGUUGAAGAUGAGAAAGAGGUCAAGAACCGGUGUAUAAUGGCAUGUUUGUCUUAUGUGUUAGAUGACCAAUGCACCCAUCGAGAUAUGAACAAAAAGCUAUUUUGGGACAUUGUUGUUAUAAGAGCUGAAUUUGUCACAAAUAAUAUUUUCUGCAUAAAUGUGUGAAACAAUUGAUAAAUAAUUUGAUCUCUGUUGAAGGGUAAAAGCUUGGGAGAAGUUCAAGAGAUCAUUAACAAAAGUUUGUCUCCUAGACUCCUAUCAACAGGAACAUUACGAAACAUUCAUUCAAUAAUGUUGGUGGAAGAGGUGAUGAUUGUGGCAAAGCUGAAAAAGGAAAAUAUUGUCAACGCAGUUAUUAUUUUACUUAGUUCUUUUUAUACUUUUAAUGCUGAGUAUUCCAAACGCGUUAAUGGACAUUGCAAAAAUGUAUUUAUUCUUUUAGAACAUUUGCUUUUAAAUUCAAAAUGCAAUUGUAAGGCUCAAUUGCCAACUUUUGUCAAUCAUUUUAUUUCUUCUAUGAAGUAGAAAACUUUUGUAGUGUUAAUUAAUGGCAUGUAGUAGAGAUUUUAAGUAUUCUGUGUUUGCAAAAAAUGUGCUAUUUAUAA